rnacentral:lncRNA from 1 species
GAGCUUUUUUAGAGAAGGAGUCAUGUUUUAUCCACUGCUGCAUUGUAGGGUCUAGACCUGUGGCUAGCAUUUACUGGAAACUCAGUAUAUGCUGACAGAAUUAAUAAGUUACAAAUGAAACCCAGGAGCUAAGUGUGUAGGUGUUGUUGAGUAGAAGGCUCAAGUGGAUUAACUACUUCUGAGCAUUAGAGACUGAGAUGAAUCCUCCCGAAGAAAUCUCAUCACAGAUGGUUCAGAGCCACGCUGAUUAGAAUGCUUACUGUUCCAGCACUAGGACACGUUUAGAGGUCCCAGAGGGCACUUUUGUGCUGUGAAGAGAAUCCAGGUAGAGGUCUGUGGGGCACCAAGCUUGACUCUCUUCUUGACCUUAUUAUUUUGGAUGGAGAGAUUUUCAUGCCUCAGUUCUAAUUCUGGCAUCUACAAAAAGAGAAGACAAAACAAAACAAAGCAACUCUCUCAGGUAUGAGAAGAAAUAAUGCAAGCAAAACAGCUGGCACGAAGCAGGUGCACAGUAAUGUAGUGGCUAAUUGCUGAGACGCCAGCCGGCCUGCUUGGGUUCAAGUCACAGCUUCACCUCCUGGCUGUGUAGCCUUGGAAAAAUUACAUAACUUUUUU